AAAAUGAGGUUACUUCAAAGGCCACGUGCCGCUCUGAGACUGGCAGAUGGCUCACUGUUGUGAGUCGCCAAAGGAGCUAUGGAGAGAUUAAAAUUCAACAUGACUGUUAACAAUGCAUUAAAUAAUCAAAUAAACAGUGGCUUAUAAAUAUCAGAUUCUCAUUCCGGGUCUUCGGAUGGGCCUUACAGAAACCUCAUUUUGGCCAGCUCAUAAAAACUGAAGCAGCUUCUCGUGUUGGCCAGACUCGGCACACCGAGCAAUUUCCAUCUCUGAUGAAGUUAUUCCUUAUUUCCUGUAUGUUGUACAAUCAAAACACACUACUACCUCUUAAGUCCCAGUAUACCUCAUUUUUCAUACUGAAAAAAAAGAAAAAAAAGAGAAAAAAAAAGGCUUGUGUCCAAUGGAACAGUGAGAACAUCAUAAAAUUUUUAUAUAUAUAGUUUAUUUUUGUGGGAGAUAAAUUUUAUAAGACUGUUUUUUACUGUUGUUGGUCACAGCUAAGUAAGACUGGACAUCUAACUUCUCUACCAUUUCUGCAAGCUAAGUAUGUUUGCAGGAGAAACUUAUCAAGACGAUUAACUGCAUCCAACUUUCUCCCCGUUCCUUUGUGUGCCCUCUGACUUCGUUCUCUGUUCCUUGUGUAGAGUCGCUGUCUGUGAUUGUACUUGGACGGCUUGCUUGUGGCAAUACCUUCUCUAGUGGAUUAUCACUGUCUGCACAAUAAACAUAACAGCCUCUGUGGG
rnacentral:lncRNA from 1 species